rnacentral:rRNA from 1 species
CCCGGCGACCGGCGCACGGUGAGUAACACGUAUGAAACCUGCCCGUAGCAGGGGGAUAAGCGGAAGAAAUUCCGUCUAAUACCGCGUAACAACCCAUGGAGGCAUCUCUGUGGGUUUAAAGGAAGCGAUUCCGGCUACGGAUGGUCAUGCGUCGCAUUAGCCUGUUGGCGGGGUAACGGCCCACCAAGGCGACGAUGCGUAGGGGUUCUGAGAGGAAGGUCCCCCACACUGGUACUGAGACACGGACCAGACUCCUACGGAAGGCAGCAG